UGGCUCAGUGGAAAAGAAUCUGCCUGCAACGCAGGAGACCCAGGUUCAAUCCCUGG
rnacentral:tRNA from 1 species